UUCGUCAAUGUGGAUCUGCUGAGGCAACGUGAUUGGCUGAUACCGAUCACAUGACUUUCAAGAAAUUGUGAAUAAUCCACGUAAUUGUGCUAAAUUUAUUUUAAAUAUAGUUACUUGUUGUGACACAAGUUUUGCGUCCUGUAAUACUCCUAUAUUGGCUUAUUUUAGUUAAAUAAAAAAGCUGGAAUACGGGGGUUUGAAUUUGGGGCUAAUUGUUUUGUGUGGUUGUCGUCAUGGGGGUGAAAGUGGGAUACGCGCAUUGGCAACACGAGAGUAUAGGCCAGGGGGGUUUUGCACUCCCGGGGAGAUGAAAAGGGACGACCAAUGACGACUGCUUAUUUUAAAACAAGCGCGUAUUUAUUAGGGAUUUCAUUAAAUUAUAUUUUUUGACGUAACAAUGACAUCUACGCUUGCGCGCAGAUCGCUAAAAAGAUCGCGCCGAAAAUAUCGCGCCAAAAGUGUUGUUUUGUCACUCAUCGUUCAACGUGUUACCGGAAUUCGUUAGUGAGUCAAUUCCUGGUGUUGAGCGCCGACCAAAAAGAUAAGUAUCUCUUGUUUUGUUAAUAUAACCUCAUCUUUUUGAUUGGUGUUUCUUUCUAUUUUAAAGGCAUUGGUCUCUGGGCUGGAGUGACGGAUUUUUGAUUUCUACUACUCAAGCGAACUUUAGUCAUGGCUGGUUAUCGCAAAUAUUCCUGCAAAUACCCCGGAUGCACCAGUGGUUAUGUUCCCAACAAAGGACAUGCCAACAAGCAUUUCUUCACCUUCCCUAAGAAUCUAAAGCUUCACGAAUUGUGGAGGAAUGCCUGCAAAAUUGAGGAUCCUGUAAGUUCAAAAUUUUGGCGUUUUCUCGAUUUAGGGUAUUUCAGAAUUUACUUUUAAGUUUCUUAUUUGCGCUCGAGUGUGUCAGUGCACUGCAUGUACCUCCUCGUGGUCGUAGCGUGGGCAACUGUUUGCUGACAGACAAGGUAAAAGUCAUUGCAAAGAAGGCCUUAUUUUGUUUUAAGUCUGGAGCAGACAGGCAAAACAUGCCAACACUAACUGAUUUAAUUUUUUGAUAAUUUUUGUAUAAUUAAGAAAUAAUACAAUACUUUAAUUUUUUGAAAAAUUUAAUUUGUUAUGUUACUCAAGUGUACAAUAAAAAUGUUAACAAAA